rnacentral:rRNA from 1 species
UACGUAGGGUGCAAGCGUUGUCCGGAAUUAUUGGGCGUAAAGAGCUCGUAGGCGGUUUGUCGCGUCGAAUGUGAAAACCCGGGGCUCAACCCCGGGCCUGCAUUCGAUACGGGCAGACUAGAGUUCGGUAGGGGAGUCUGGAAUUCCUGGUGUAGCAGUGAAAUGCGCAGAUAUCAGGAGGAACACCGGUGGCGAAGGCGGGACUCUGGGCCGGUAUUGACGCUGAGGUGCGAAAGCGUGGGGAGCAAACAGG